rnacentral:lncRNA from 1 species
AUUAAAACAGAAGGUGGGGAGGUGUCAUAAGCUUAUUUGUAGGUGAAGUAUUAAGACUAGAAGAAUGACAUUAUGCAUCAAAUCUUUUACAUUGUUUGAUCUCUUUUACCUAAAAACAAAACAAGAUACUUUUUUGUUGUUUGACAUAUGACCAAUUAGCAGCCAGUUGGAGCUAAAUGUUUUCUUUUUUCUUUUUCUUUUCUUUUUUUAGAUGUAGUGUCACUCUGUCGCCCAGGCUGGAGUGCAGUGGCGUGAUCUCGGCUCACUGCAACCUCUGCUACCCAGGUUCAAGCGAUUCUCCUGCCUCAGCCUCCCAAGGAGCUGGGAUUGCAGGCACCUGCCACCACGCCCAGCUAAUUUUUGUAGUUUUGGUAGAGAUGGUGUUUCACCAUUUUGGCCAGGCUGGUCUUAAACUCCUGACCUUGUGAUCCACCUGCCUUCGCCUCCCAAAGUGCUGGUAUUACAGGCAUGAGCCACUGUGCCCAGCCUAAAUGUUUUCUUUAAAAGCAAGGAAAAGAAAAAUACGACACAUAGCCAUGAUUGAAGACGUGUACCUUCAUCUGAGAAGACAUCUGCAAAUAUUCUGGAAAAGGAGCUGAUUGUUAAUGGAAGAAGGAAGAAAUACAAGUUUGUUGGGUAUUUAGUAUAUGCCAGACGCUGUACUAGGGCUCAAAAAAAAUUCCAUAGAGACCAUUUAGAUCUGGCGAACAUACUACUUUCAGAAACUGAAGCGAGUUUGUGGUCUACAGCAUCAGUAGUCCAUAAGACAGAGAUUUAAGAAAAGAAAUGGUGGUAUUUAACACCCCUGUUCAAUUAUAGUUAUCCAUAUGAUAUGACUGACUGAUUUGUGACUGUCAACAGACGUAUUCAUAGAGGACAAUUUCAAGUUAAUCUUCAAAAUGGGAGAGUUAAAUUAUUUUUAAAAAAUAAAGAGUGACUACUGUUUGGUCCUUGAAAUGAUGUUAGGUGGAUCAUGAAUUAGGCAUUAAAUGGCAUUAAAACACAUAAUGAGAAAAUUCUCUCUUUUUAAUUCCCUUUCAGUUUUCUGAGUAUGUCAAGCAGGAAGUUUCAGUGUGGUGUUAGUGAAAUGUUAGCUCUUCUCAGGGCAGGCAACAUCUCCCUUCAUAACACUCCUUUUUAGAGUUACAUUUUAUUAUGUUUUAUUUCUGGCAAGUGAAAUUGGUUUCCAUUUAUAUGGAGUAGAUAUUAAAAAUGUAUUCAUAUGAAAUAUUAAUUGAUUUAAAAAUAUUAACUAAAUAAUACAUGUAGUGAGCUGAAUGGGCAAUGGGACACCACCCUGAAGAAAUUAUCCACUGUGUAAAACUUCACAAUUUUAGUGAUUAAGAGGCAGAUGGUUUCAUAAAAGAAAACAAAAAAUAUAGUUUGUUUAAGAUCUACCUGCUUGUCCAGAGCAGUUGUGUUCAAAGUGUGGUCCAUAGACAAAUGAUGGUCUAUGAACUUUUUGCCUGUCUGGAAAAAAAUAAAUAUAGAACUCGUGAGUAACCAUUUAGAAACUUUUAUAGCUUUUAUAGCUUAUAGCUUAUUGCUUUCAUAUCCAAUUGCACAAUAUAUUUUUCUAGUAAUUGUUUUUGGUAUUUUACAAAAGUGUCAUUCUGUGAUAAAUUAGGGGAAAACCUAAUCAUUUGAGAGGGAUUGAUCUAAAACAUAUAUUUAGAACAAGAACAAAACUAAGAAAAGUGGUAGUCUAAGCAGUUAUGGAAAAAGAACAUGCAUUGGCAGAAAGUAUGCAAUCAUCACAGGAUCUAAAAAAUAGGAAUAAAGAGACUAAGAUGGUACCUUUGUAAGGAUUGGGACUGUCACAAUUAUCUUAUGGUUGUAUCCCAAGGAUCCAGUGUAGGUCUUGUCAUAUAAUCAGCAUUUGAUAAAUAUCUGUGGAGUGAAUGAAGAAGUAAAUGAAUCAGUGAAUGAGCUAUGGUGCUUGGCAAGUAGGUCUAAUGCAAUCGCCAGAGAAAAUGCUCUAUUACAUUGCAGUAAUUGUUCAUCAUGCUUUUCCAUUUAUAACACUCUCUAAUUCCCUUUUUUUCUAGAUAUAUAAAUAUCAAGUCAACUUCCAAGACAUACCAACAUGUCUAAAGUGGGCUGGAAAGGAUAAUUCUGAGGACCUUUGCAUUUGUCACUCCUUGUAGCCAGAACACCCUUCUCUGAGAUAUUUUGUGGCUUAUUCCUUUAUGUCUUCCAAGUCUUUGUUAAAGUCUUGCCUUCUUAGAAAGACCACAGCUGGCCACAUUUUCUAUAGUAUCACCUCACUCACUUUCUAGCCGUGCUGUUAUUUUCUUCAUAAAACCGAACUCUACUAACACAUUAAUUUGUCUAUCUACUUAUCUUUCUUCUUUAUUAGAACGUAAACUCCAUGAGAUGGAGUGGUAGUAGUGUGGGAAGUACUUCAUAUUGUUUAUAACUGUUUCUAUAGUGCCUAGAUUAAUGCUUACAUCUUACCUGCUGAGCACUUAAUACUUUUAAUAAAAGAAUGAAAGGGGGUUGGAGCAAGGUGAAGAAAUAGAAGGCCCCACCGAUCAUCCCCCAACCUACCUCCGCAAGGACACCAAUUUAACAAAUAUCCACACACAACAAAACACUUUCAUGAGAACCAAAAAUCAGGUGAGCACUCAUAGUACCUGGUUUUAAAUUCAUAUCGCUGAAAGAGGCACCGAAGAAGUAGAAAAAACAGACUUGAAUUGCCUAUGCCAUCCCUCCCCCCUUCCUUGGCAGUGGCAAUGUGGUGCAGAGAGCUUUUCUGCACCCUGGGGAGAGGGAGAGCCAGCAACUGUGAGGCAUUGAACUCAGUGCUGCCCUUGUUAUAGCUGAAAGCAGAGCCGGACCAAACUCAGCUGGCACCCUCCCGCAAAGACAGCAUUUAAACCAGCCGGAGCCAGAGGGGAAUUGCUGAUCCCAGCGGUUGGAACUUGAGUUCCUACAAGCCUCACCACUGUGGGCAAAAGUGCUUUGGGGCUUCAAAUAAAUUUGAAACGCAAUUUAGGCCUCAAGGACUGCAACACCAAGGUGAGUCAUAGGCUGAACUGGACCAAGAGACAGUAGACUGUGGUUGCAUGCGACCUACUGCGACACCAGCUGGGGCAGCUAAGGGAGUGCUGGCCUCACCCAUCCCCGAAGCCCAGGCUGCAAAAAUCCUGGCUGUAAAAGAGACUCCUUCCUUCUGCUUGAGGAGAGGAGAUGGAAUAGUGGGGAAGACUUUGUCUUGCAUCUUGGAUACCAGCUCAGCCACAGCAGAAUAGAGCACCGGUCAGAGUUGUGAGACCCUCAUUUCAGGCCCUAGCUCCUGGACAUUUCUGGACACACCCUAGGCAAGAAGGGAAUUCAUUGCCUUGAAGAGAAGGACUCAUUCCUGGAAGGAUUCAUCACUUGCUGCCUGAAGGGACCCUGAGCUGUGAAUAACCAACAGGGAUAUCCAGAGGCUGAAAACUUAAAAAAUUGGAUGAAAAUUAUGAAGAUAGUCUGACAUGAUAUAUUAAGAGCUCUGAAUGAUGCCUAGGGAUGUAGAAGAGGAGAAAAACACUUGAAUUGUGUGCGCCUGUAAUCCCAGGACUUUGGGAGACCAAGAUCAGCAGAUCACUUAAGGCCAGGAAUUUGAGUCCAGCCUGGGCAACAAGGUGA